GCACCAGUAGCUCAGGGGUAGAGCGCAGGAUUGCAGCUAAUACUGCAACCAUCCCGAGGUCAGCGGUUCGAAUCCGCUCUGGUGCU